CGCCUAAGAUUUUAGUUGUCACCUGUGGGAGGACGGUCCUGGAAGGAACUUCUUUUGCCCCGGAAACACCGGAAGUGGAACCAUUACGACGCAUCCCCACACAAUGGGCAGUGGUGCACUUCCGCCCUUGACCUAGCCGCUCUGCCGGGCACGGAGGCCCAGCUUGAUUUCAACUCCCCGGUGACGUAAACAACACAUUCCGGUGCCUUUCCACCACGCGUGUCUGUGGCAGCAAGGCAUCUGAGUGAAGACUGCACCCCAAACAAAAGAAAGAGCCGGCACGCGAGGAGGCAGAGCCUUCAUCUUGAUGGUAACAGCCUGAAACCAGGAAGUGAGAAACAAAAGGAUUUCUAAAAUCAGAACAGAGUCCAUUUACAACUCUAAGUGUGUGGUCAUGGAGAAGAAUCCCCCUCACAUCAGACCUGCAUCACUGGACAGAAGUAUGAACUCAAGGGGGAACAAUUGAGCAUCUCUGGUCUCAUGCUGCCACUGAUUAGCCGUAAGACAUAAUGAAAGGCACUUACUUUCUCUUCACCUCAGUUUUAUGAGCUGUAAAAUGAAGAUAAUAAUACCUGCUCUUACCUAUUUUCUAGAUUGUAAUAAGGGUAGAACGAGACAUGGAAUAAAUAUGUUAUGUCUAUAAAAUAUCAGGUAAAAUCAAUGUUUUAUUGUUAAACAGGCCUGAUUCCCCUCCCCCAAAUAACUUCAAACUUUUAACAUCAGCUCCGAGUUGAGAAGUAAGGUUGCAAAAUA